rnacentral:sRNA from 2 species
GCAGGAAGCAAGAUUUUGGGGUCGUUUAGGGGUGUUGGUGCCUAAAGAUUGGCUGCCGAAUUAGGUAUAAAACCCCCGAAUUCAGGAGCAUUGGGGGCCUGGUAUAGAAGGUUCUGUUCCAUUCAUCUACUUCUGUUCCACAUGUCCACACUCCGCGCUCCGUUCUCACGAAUGAUCUCAUCGCGCGUGUCUUCUCUAGCAUAAACAGCGUUAACUAUCACUUCUCCCUUGUAAAACAUGCGUUUUUGAUGGGAAGUUUUACCACUACACACACCAAAAAGGAUCAAUCCUUUAAGAUGGAAACCCCGUCUUAGGAUAUAUUUUGCAUGUCUAUCUGUUCCACACCCUUUCUCUCCGCGCUUCAUUGGCGUUCAGUGCACAUUGCACAACAGGCAUGCUAUGCCAACUGUUUAUACGUAUAGGCACCGAAUAUCUACAACUUGAUGCCAGGAGGAUUCGUAUGUUUUGUAUUAUGCGUCGUAGGAAAGAAGGUGAAAAAAGGGAAGAAAGAGCGGCAUGAUCGUAUAGCCCUCUAUGACGGGAAUGCUUGAUUGGUGAUGUUUAAGAUCAAUGGCUGGUGUAGUAAGGACGGAGGUAAAACCGCGGAAUAGCUCAACGCUGAGAACCUUUGUUACAUAGCAAAAGAAAGGCGAAGCAGAAAAUAUGGAAUAUUGAUAUUAGAUGUUGAUUAUAUACGUAUCCCAGACAGGUGGACGCACAGGAGCAGGAAAUCCCACCCCUUACUUCACGGCCUCCUAGGUCGGUCUGGAAGAACGCAGGGGUCAGAUUAAGUCACUGAUAGCUGGUAACAGGCCUAAAAUAGACGCUGAAGAUUGGCCACGAGCAAAAACAAAGAAAGAACAAGAAAAGCAGGCCGGUAGGAUGAUAAACUUUCUCAUCUUCCCAAUACAAAAGCAGACGGUGGGAGAUGGAGAACGUGGAGGCUCAUCUUUUGGAGAGCAGAGAAUUAGAUUCCUAUAUGAAACCCAAUUUGACCUGCUAUAUAGAUCACUCGGACGAAGCGGAAGCUGAGGAUAUAUUCACAAAGACGAGAAUCUUAGUCACGAUUGCUGUUUAGUCAAUAUAACUGUACAAAUAAGUUAGAGUGGGGUUCGAGCAUGGUGGCAGCAAAACGAGCGGCUUCUGCUGCUGCAUGCAUGUGGAGGUGGGGGAAGUGGUUCCAUGGCUCGUGGGAGGCUGCUGUGAGAUGACGACACCGCAUCGUGUUUUAGGGCGCGUAGGCCGAAGACAUGAAUUGAAGAUAGGGAGUGAAGAGGAAAGGAAAAAGGAUAGACCCAGGGGCGAUGCGUGAAAAACACGUAGAUGUCUCGGCAACUAUUUUAUAUCUUUUCGAUUUUCGGGUUCUGAUCUUCGAAAUCUCCUACGAGUGAUGUGCACAGGGCUCGUGUUUUUGAUUUGGAGGCGGUGUAUGAAUGAGUGUUAGGGUGAGGAUGAGGGUGGGUUUGUAUCAUGUCGAGGUAUGGCGCGGGUGGUACGCGUAUACGGUGGUAUGUGAUGUUACCAUGCAGCACACUGCACAGUUACUCUGCAUGCCUCGGUAGUUAUUUUGACAAUUCAAAAAUCUUUGAGCGGGAGGGAAAUGUUCUCUCCA